GCCCCCAUAGCUCAGUUGGUAGAGCAUUCGACUAAACAGCGAAAGGACCCCAGUUCAAGUCUGGGUGGAAGUA
rfam:Phlebotomus papatasi Contig3021.2, whole genome shotgun sequence.